CUCGCGUGACAUUAGCCAGAUGGUGAGGUAACGGCUCACCAUAGCAAUGAUGUCUAGGGGUUUUGAGAGGAAGGCCCCCCACACUGGGACUGAGACACGGCCCAGACUCCUACGGGAGGCAGCAGUGAGGAAUAUUGGACAAUGGAUGGAAAUCUGAUCCAGCCAUGCCGCGUGCAGGAAGACGGCCUUAUGGGUUGUAAACUGCUUUUAUACGGGAGCAAUAAGGGUUACGAGUAAUCCGAUGAGAGUACUGUAUGAAUAAGGAUCGGCUAACUCCGUGCCAGCAGCCGCGGUAAUACGGAGGAUCCGAGCGUUAUCCGGAAUUAUUGGGUUUAAAGGGUGCGUAGGCGGCCAUUUAAGCCAGCGGUGAAAUUUUGCAGCUUAACUGUAACAGUGCCGUUGAUACUGUUUGGCUAGGAUUUGGUUGUAGUGUGCGGAAUGUGUGGUGUAGCGGUGAAAUGCUUAGAUAUCACACAGAACACCGAUUGCGAAGGCAGCACACUAAGUCAUUAUUGACGCUGAGGCACGAAAGUGUGGGGAUCAAACAGGAUUAGAUACCCUGGUAGUCCACACUGUAAACGAUGAUAACUCGCUGUCGGCGAUACACAGUCGGUGGCCAAGCGAAAGCAUUAAGUUAUCCACCUGGGGAGUACGACCGCAAGGUUGAAACUCAAAGGAAUAGACGGGGGCCCGCACAAGCGGAGGAACAUGUGGUUUAAUUCGAUGAUACGCGAGGAACCUUACCCGGGCUCGAACGGUGCAUGAAUAUACGAGAGAUUGUAUAGUCUUUCGGGACAUGUAUCGAGGUGGUGCAUGGUUGUCGUCAGCUCGUGCCGUGAGGUGUCGGCUUAAGUGCCAUAACGAGCGCAACCCUCGUCAUUAGUUGCCAUCAGGUCAAGCUGGGGACUUUAAUGAGACUGCCACCGUAAGGUGUGAGGAAGGGGGGGAGGACGUCAAAUCAGCACGGCCCUUAUGUCCGGGGCGACACACGUGUUACAAUGGGAGGUACAGAGGGCAGCUAUCCGGUGACGGAAUGCUAAUCUCCAAAACCUUUCUCAGUUCGGAUUGGAGUGUGCAACUCGACUCCACGAAGGUGGAUUCGCUAGUAAUCGCGCAUCAGCCAUGGCGCGGCGA
rnacentral:rRNA from 1 species